rnacentral:rRNA from 1 species
AUUGAACGCUGGCGGCAGGCCUAACACAUGCAAGUCGAACGAGUGGCGGACGGGUGAGUAAUUUCUGGGAAACUGCCCGAUGGAGGGGGAUAACUACUGGAAACGGUAGCUAAUACCGCAUACACUCGGAUGUGUCCAGAUGGGAUUAGCUUGUAGGUGAGGUAACGGCUCACCUAGGCGACGAUCCCUAGCUUGUCUGAGAGGAUGACCAGACACACUGGAACGGAGGAAAGGUCCAGACUCCUACGUGAGGCAGCAGUUGGUAAUAUUGCACAAUGGGCGCAAGCCUGAUGCAGCUAUGCCGUGGGUAUGAAGAAGGGCUUCUGGUUGUAAAGUACUUUCAGCGGGGCGGCGUUACCCGCAGAAGAAGCACCGGCGAACUCCGUGCCAGCAGCCGCGGUAAUAC